rnacentral:tRNA from 1 species
AUUAGGUUGGCAGAUUAGUGUUUUAAAUUUAGAAUUUAAUUAUGUAAAUAAUAUUACACCUAAUA